rnacentral:RNase_P_RNA from 1 species
GGCAGAGGGAGCCCGGCCUCCGUGCCCAGGCCCGCGCCGACACCGUCGGCGCGCUACGGGCAUGAGGAAAGUCCCCCCACCGUCCGGGCAGGUGACCGGGUGCAAACCCGGAGCGGGAGACCGCUGGCGCUGGAACAGAAACGAGACCACUCCGCUCGACUGAUGACGUGCGCGAACCCGGAGCGACCGGCCUCGCCGGGAAGCGACGGGGAGCUAACCCACCGAAGGCAGACGGCGUCCGCGAGUCCAGACGGACUCGCGGGCCCGUCGGGCGCUUUGCGUCCGACGGCGGAGAACGGAUGGAACGGCGAAUCCUCACCGGUGCAAGUCCGCGCCGCAUGGUAGCCCGGACGCGGGCGCGGACGCUCAGCCGAAUGCCGGGCCGAACAGAAGGGGGCUUACUCCCCUCAGCC